ensembl:lncRNA
GUCCGUCUCUUGUGUCAUUAACCAGAUUAUGUUCAGCUGUGUACUCACCGGUCUCUCAUUACCAUCCUCAUCUGUCAGCAUAUUUAAGUCCUCUGUUUCCUUCUGUUCACUGUCGCGUCAUUGAUGUUGUUACUGCUGGUCCCGUGUGUUCAGUUCUGUUCAGUCACUUCGGUUCAGCCAGCCAUUUCAUUAAAUACCAUUAUCCUGCACCGUGAGUCCAGCGUUUGGGUCCUCUUCUCAUUCACACGCGAAACCCUGACAACAAGUCCAAGAUGUGGGAAAUGCUGUGGGGGGAAAAAAAAAUUGCUUGGACAAGAAAAUAACGUUUUACAAAGUGAUUCUGAAAGAGGAGGGGAUGGUGCACAGAGAGCUUUUAAGGACAAAAGCAAAAGAAAAGCUGACUGUUUUAAUGAACAAAAGAUGGUUGAGGAACGAUGGGAAGAGUUUUUUCAAUGCUGCAGAAGAAUUAAUUAAUAGAGAAGCUAAUUCACCACCUGAUUAAGUGGAUGAUGCUGAUGGAGCACGAUUACAGGACAUGGGAUCAUCCAACUCUGAGCACGAAAACUUACUGGAGGAAUUUUAAGCCCGACAAGAUAAAUUCACAAACAAAAACUCUCUUGUUACUUUAGGUUUCUUGGCUGCUGUUUGGCAUCUCAAUGGUUCAGCUCCCUCCACAGAUUUUCUACAGCACUGAGGUCGGGAGACUGGCUACUUCAUGACCUAAAAGUGUUUCUCCUUAACCAAGCCUUUAUUGUCAUUAUGUUUUUGGUCUACCUCAGUCAGGAGUUCGACGCAAGAGAUCUUGCAUCGAACUCCUGACUGAGGGUGACUGAUGUCUGUUACCACCACGUCACAAUGUGCAU